rnacentral:rRNA from 1 species
UACGAAGGGGGCUAGCGUUGCUCGGAAUCACUGGGCGUAAAGCGCACGUAGGCGGAUCUUUAAGUCAGGGGUGAAAUCCUGGAGCUCAACUCCAGAACUGCCUUUGAUACUGGAGAUCUCGAGUUCGGAAGAGGUGAGUGGAACUCCGAGUGUAGAGGUGAAAUUCGUAGAUAUUCGGAAGAACACCAGUGGCGAAGGCGGCUCACUGGUCCGGUACUGACGCUGAGGUGCGAAAGCGUGGGGAGCAAACAGG